rnacentral:lncRNA from 1 species
UUCAUUAAUGUGAAUGUGAAUACUAUUUGCAGAGAAAGAACCUAUGACAUGGUCUACCAGAUUGCGAAUUGCUCUGGAUGUAGCGAGAGGCCUCGAGUAUAUUCAUGAUCAUUCAGUGCCUGUAUACAUCCAUCGCGACAUCAAAUCAGAUAAUAUUUUAUUAAAUGGAAACUUCAAUGGGAAGGUACAGUACUAUGUCUCAAUAUUUUUUGAAAGCUUCUUAGUUUUUACUAUUUUUCUUCUUGAGAUAAUUGUUGUGAGUGAGAUCAUAUAUUAUUCCUAUUAUUACAGAUUGCUGAUUUUGGAAUGACCAAACUGACUGAUGUUGCAAGUUCAACUGAUAACACUGAUCAUGUCGCUGGCACAUUUGGUUACAUGCCGCCUGAGUAUGAUGAACUCUGCUCUUCUUUUUAUGUGGUUAAUUGUAAUGCUCAAAUUAACAAACGCAGGGAAAUAGGGGUAUAUUAUUCAACUGACAGAUUCACUUCUAAAGGAAGGAAUGUAGCACAAUGAUAAAGGAAUUAAAAUACAGCAAAGGUGGAAGAAGGUUCGGUAUAACAGAAAGAGACUGAUUCCAAUUAUUCCACACCCUUUCUAAUGACAUGACUUGUUAUUUAUACUAGAGAUCCUUGAGCCUAACGUUUGGUUCGCGCGCCCUGACACUGCGUCUCACUCCUUGAGCUGGCACUUCUAUUGUAACAGAAUUUGAUACCUCCUUUCCUCCACUACUCUUCAUUACAUUAAUAUAGCUAUCUUAGGCUAAUAGAAUUUGGAUUUUUGAAAUAAAAAAGCCUUGGUUACUUUCUCAGUAUUACCAUGAUAAAUCCAAAUGCUUAGUAGUAAUCAACCAGUCAUGAAUCAUUAGAUGAAAUAGUAAAAACUAAUCCUCUUCCUUAGUUUAAUUCAAUCAUUCGCUUUUGUGCAGAAAUGCAUACGGACAUAUUUCUCGCAAGAUAGAUGUAUAUGCUUUUGGAGUUGUUCUAUACGAACUAAUUUCUGCUAAAGCAGCUGUGGUCAAAAUUGAUAAACCUACUACUGAGUUCAAGAGCCUUGAGAUUAAGACCAAUGAAUCUAUUGAUGAAUACAAGAGCCUUGUAGCUUUGGUAAUUGAUCGUUAAUUAGUACUUAUAUAUAUAUGUUCAUAUAUUGUGUUUUUUUUUUAACUUCUCCUGGUAUGUAUGCCAGUUUGAUGAAGUUAUUGAUCAAGAGGGAGAUCCUAUAGAAGAAGGUCUAAGAAAACUAGUUGAUCCAAGGCUGGGAGAUAACUAUUCAAUUGAUUCCAUUAACAAGGUAUCUAUGAAUCAUACAACAUUUUCUUGGUGUUUAUCAUUUCUUAAUCAACAAGCUUUAUAUGUUUUUUCACUGGCAGAUGACACAGCUUGCCAAGACUUGCAUAAACCAAGACCCGAAACGACGUCCAAGAAUGGGAGAUGUUGUGGUUUCUCUUAUGAAACUAAAUUCUACUAUUGAUGAUGGAAGUAGAAUAGUGCAGCAUUGAGUCUGACUAAAAUUAAAACUCUAGUGUGAAACUUAAUACUAUUCUAUUCUGUACUAGUAGAGCCAACAAGUAUAUCAGAUUGAACGAGAAGACUUUCUAGUCAAUAAAUUAGACUUUGCAUUUAUGUGACAUUUGAUUAAUGGGAAUAAUUUUGUAAAUUUGUUACAUUCAAUUAUUUAUUUAUAGUUUUUCAAAGGUCAAAGGCAACGUGGAUGUAAUGUGGGUUCCUUUGCACACCAACAUGGAAAGUUAUCAACAUGAAUGUCCAUGUAUUAAUAUUCCUAACACCCAUUUGCAUAUUCAACACACCCAAAUUCUUAUUCUAUGUGUUCCUAUUACACAAUGAAAUCAAUCAAAUUCAGAUUAUCACUCUUAUUCAUGUUACUAGCCUCUAAAUCCUUCAUUGCAGAAUCAAAAUGUACCAAAACUUGUGACUUAGCUUUAGCUUCCUACAAUAUACAAAAAGAUUCAAACUUAACAUAUAUUUCAUCCAUCAUGAAAUCCAAGGUUGUUUCAAAACCUGAAGAUAUUUUCAGCUACAACACUGACACAUUACAAAGUCCAGAUAUUUUCCUAGUAGAUUCAAGAGUGAAUGUUCCCUUUUCUUGUGAUUGCAUCAAUGACGAGUUUCUUGGUCACACUUUUCUAUAUGAGAUUUACCCAGGAGAUACCUAUGCUUCAAUUGCAGAAUUCACUUUUAACAAUUUGACCACUAAGGAGAGCAUCGAAAGAGACAACGAUUAUAGUCCAGAUAAUAUUCCGGUUGAUGGAACACUUAAUGUUACUGUUAACUGUUCAUGUGGGAAAAGAGAGGUUUCUAAGGAUUAUGGUUUGUUCAUCACAUACCCUCUUAGUCCUAAGUGUUAGUUAAUGUGCUGCUUUUAUGUUAGUGGAAUAUGAUAAAGUAGUGGAAAUUAUUUAGUGUAAGUGAAGAGUUGUCAAUGUCAAUAGUGGAAGCACUUAGUGCUUAGUGGAGUGUUUAAUCAUUGAUUAAGCACCUAGUAGUGGUGACUCUUUGAUAGUUGUAAUCAUCACUACUAAUGCUAUAUAUAUUCAUGUGUAUGAGAUGCAUUUGAUAUAAGAAAAAAUAUUAUCCUACUCUAAAUUAUGCAACAAUAUAGUUUAUAAUAUAUACCACACCUCUAGAAUACCACCAACACUAAAGGACACUUUGGAGUCUAUUGCAAAGGAUACUAAUAUUGAUGCUGAGUUGCUUCAGAGGUACAACCCUGAUGUGAAUUUCAGCCAAGGAACUGGUCUUGUUUUUAUUCCUGGAAAAGGUUAGAUUUUUAUUUUUCUGUCAUGGUUUAGUUUUCUGAUAAUGGAAAUUUUAUACUUGUUCAGGUUUUCAAUUUGUACAAAAGGGUAUUAUUAUGUUGGUCAAUUAUUUUGAUUUUAGUAAAAAACAAUUGGUCUUGGCAUUUUGUUUUCCAUUUUAAUUUAGAGUUCGGUUAAGAGGUGUAAAGUUUGGCAACAAAUUGAAAUUGGUAAAGUUUGGUUAUUAUAUGUAAUUCCUUAAUAUGUGACCUAAAUAUUUUCAUUAUCUAAUUUAUGCUACAGGUAGAAUGCUCAUUUUAGUUAUUAACUUGACAUUCUAAUUUUUCAUGGAUGAGUAAUCAAUCAAUAAAUAAUACUAUUACAUCAAACUUUUUAACUAUUUGUUCCUCUAUAUGUUAAUGAAACAUGCAUUAAGUGAUGUUUGUUUAUCGAUCGUAAUAUUUGGAUUUUAGAAUCACGGCGUGCAUAGUUGAACUCAAGAGAGAUGAAGUAAUGCUAUCCAUAUCAAAAUUUCUUUUACAGUCUUGUUUGUGUUUAGUUAAUGUCAUCCAUAUAUAUAGUCUUAUUUUGCAGACAUCUCGAUUAGUUAUAAUGUUCUCAAUAUUAAUAUAUCAAAGAACAUCGAUGAAAAUAACAAAGGAAAAUAAUCAAGAGAAUAGAGUUGAUGAGAAUAAGAAUGAUAGGGUGAGUGAAAAAAAAAAAUGAAGUAAGGUUGCAAUUAGACAUGUGAUUCGUCGAUAUUAUAUCACAGCCGCACAUAUUGCCAAUGCCAACACCAUUUUUUUUUUGUUUACAUGCCGACACCAUUUGAUUGUCACCAAUUUCCAAUUUUUUUACCAACGACAUGAUCACAUUUUAAAAUGUGAUCACCAUUCACAUGAUAUAUUAUGAAUAAUAGUUUUUUACAACACUCGCUACUUAGAAUACGAGAAAAGUCCUUUUCAAUAGAAAUACAGAAAAGUAAUUAUGAAAAAAAAAAGAAAUACAGAAAAGUAAAAUUGGAAAUGCAGUAUUACUUUCUUUAGUUUUUUAUGAGUAAUGCAUAAAACUCAUUCUCUAAUACGUUGGGUUAAAUAUGCUUUUAAUCCUAAUAAAUAUUUUAAAUUUUGUCAAAAAAAUAAAUGGUCAUUUUUCAUAUACUACUUGGUUUUUGCAUACAAAUUGGACCUUGGGGUUUUCAAAAUUUGCAAAUUGUGUCUAAAUUUCUCCAAAUCGUUCCUUAUUUUUAUAUUUUGAAAAUGGUUAUUCAUAUUUCGAAAAUUACAUAAAAAUAGUCCACCAAAAUCGAAGCAUCAUUACUUUUUUUACUCAAUACAAAACAUUUUUUAGAGAUAGAGACUUUUAGUUUUCAUUAAAACUUCAUGAAAUUUUCAACCGCAUUGUUGUAGAAAUGUUUGUUAUUAUGUGAUUUAGAAACAAAGAAUCUUUUUGACAUGCAUGAUCUUGUGUUAUGGGCAUUCGUAUUUAGUUUAAGAUUUUUCGAUAUUAUUUUUCAAAUACUACCUUAAACUAUAUUAAAAAGUCAUUUUUCAUACACUACUUAUUUUUGCAUACAUAUUAAACCUUGGAGUUUUCAAAAUUUGCAAAUUGUGUCUAAAUUUCUCAAAAUCAUUCCGUAUUUUUAUAUUUUAAAAAUGGUUACUCAAAUUUCAAAAACUACAUAAAAAUAGCCUACCAAAAUCAGAGCAUCUUUACGUUUUUUACUCUAUCCAAAAUAUUUUUUAACGAUGUAAAGACAUUAGUUAAAAGGUUCAAUUGUUUUAUAAUUUUAGUUUUCGUUAAACUUUCCCGCUCAAUUACCAAACUCACUCUUGUACAAAUUUUUGUUAUCAUGUGAUGUGAUUUUUAAAUGAAGACUUUUUUUGACAUGCAUUAUAUGCAUUCAUAUCUAGUUUAUGAUUUUUCGACAUUAUUUUUUAAAUACUACCUAAAACUAAAUUAAAAGUUCAUUUUUCAUAUACUACUUGAAACUUGCAUACAAGUUGGACCUUGACGUUUUCAAAAUUUGCACAUCGUGUCUAAAGUUUUUCAAAUCGGUCCUUAGUUUUUGAUAUUUCGAAAAAUUUUACUCAUAGUUUUGAAAAUUACAUAAAAAUAGCCCUCCAAAAUCAAAGCUUCAUUACUUUUUUAACGCUAUCCAAAAUAUUUUUAACAUAUAGAGACUUUAGUUAAAAGUUUCAACUGUUCUACAAUUGUAGUUUAAAUUAAGCUUUCCUAUAAAAUUUCAAACCACACUUUUGUAGAAAUAUUUGUUAUUAUGUGAUUUUUAUACAAAGAAUUUUUUUGACAUGCAUGAUCUAGUUAAAGAAUUUUCGUAAUUAUUUUUCAAAUACUACCUAAGACUAAAUUUAUUUUUGACAAACUCCUAAAAAAAUUCGAGUUUUCAAAAUUUGCAAAUUGUGUCCAAAUUUCUCCAAAUCAGUCUUUAUUUUUAUAUUUUGAAAAAGGUUACUCAUAUUUUGAAAAUUACAUAAAAAUAGACCUCCAAAAUCUGAGCAUCAUUACUUUUUUGACUCUCCAAAAUACUUUUUAGAGACUUAAACUUUGGUUAAAAGGUUCAACUGUUCUACAAUUUUUGUUGUCAUUAAACUUUCCCGCUAAAUUCUCAAACUCACUCUUGUACAAGUUUUUGUUAUUAUGUGAUUAUGUGAUUUAUAAUUAAAGACAUUUUUUGACAUGCAUUAUAUGCGGUCAUAUCUUAGUUUAUGAUUUUUCGACAUCAUUUUUCAAAUACUACCUAAACCUAAAUUAAAAGGUCUUUUUUCAUAUACUGCUUGAAACUUGCAUACAUGUUGGACCUUGGCGUUUUCAAAAUUUGCACAUCGUGUCUAAAGUUUUUCAAAUCGGUCCUUUUUUUUUUUUAUUUUGAAAAAGUUUACUCAUAGUUUUGAAAAUUACAUAAAAAUAACCCUCCAAAAUCAAAGCAUCAUUACUUUUUUAACGCUAUCCAAAAUAUUUUUAACAUAUUGAGACUUUAGUUAAAAGUUCCAACUGUUCUACAAUUUUAGUUUACAUUAAACUUUCCCAUAAAAUUUCAAACCACACUUUUGUAGAAAUUUUUGUUAUUAUGUGAUUUUUAAACAAAGAAUUUUUUUGACAUGCAUGAUCUAGUUUAAAAUUUUUUGAAAUUAUUUUUCAUACCUUUGAACUAAAGUUUUUGUGUCUCUAAAAAGUAUUUUGGAUAGAGUAAAAAAAGUAAUGAUGCUCAGAUUUUGGAGGGCUAUUUUUAUGUAAUUUUCAAAAUAUGAGUAACCUUUUUCAAAAUAUAAAAAUAAGAACCGAUUUGAAAAACUUUAGACACGAUGUGCAAAUUUUGAAAACGCCAAGGUCCAACUUGUAUACCAGUUUCAAGUAUAUGAAAAAUGAACUUUUAAUUUAGUUUUAGGUAGUAUUUAAAACAUAAUGUCGAAAAAUCAUAAACUAGAUAUGAAUAGAUAUAAUGCAUGUAAAAAAAAGUCUUAAUCUAUAAAUCAUAUAAUAACAAAAAUUUGUAAAUAGAGUAAAAAAUGUAAUGAUGCUCGGAUUUUGGAGGGCAAUUUUUAUGUAAUUUUCAAAACUAUGAGUAAACUUUUUCAAAAUAUAAAACAAUAAGGACCGAUCGUGAGUUUGGUAAUUUAGCGGGAAAGUUUAAUGAAAACUAAAAUUGAAGAAUAGUUGAACCUUUUAACUAAAGUUUUUCUGUCUCUAAAAAGUAUUUUGGAUAGAGUAAAAAAUGUAAUGAUGCUCAGAUUUUGGAGGGCAAUUUUUAUGUAAUUUUCAAAACUAUGUGUAAACCUUUUCAAAAUAUAAAAAUAAGGAAAUUUUGAAAACUCCAAAAUCCAAUUUGAAUGCAAAAACCAAGUAGUAUAUGAAAAAUGACCAUUUAAUUUAGUUUUUGGUGUUUGUCAAAAAGAAAAAUUAGUUUUAGGUAGUAUUUGAAAAAUAAUAUCUAAAAAUCUUAAACUAGAUAAAAAUGGCCAUAACACAAGAUCAUGCAUGUCAAAAAAUUCUUUAUUUAUAAAUAACAUAAUAACAAAAAUUUGUCCAAGAGUGAGUUUGGGAAUUUAGCGGGAAAGUUUAAUGAAAACAAAAAUUGUAGAACAGUUGAACCUUUUAACUAAAGUCUUUACAUCUCUAAAAAAUAUUUUGGAUAGAGUAAAAAACAAGGAACGAUUUUGUAAAAUUUAGACACAAUUUGCAAAUUUUGAAAUCUCCAAGGUCCAAUUUGUAUGCUAGUUUCAUGUAGUAUAUGAAAAAUGAAAUUUUAAUUUUGUUAUAGGUAGUAUUUGAAAAAUAAUGUCUAAAAAUCACAAACUAGAUUUUAUAGGAACUUAAAUAUUUAAAACUCUUUCUAUAUCUCAAAUGUUUAUGAAAAAAAUGCAUCAUACUUUAUUUAUAAAUCACAUAAUAACAAAAAGUCUAUAACAAUGUGUUCGGAAAUUUAUCGGGAAAGUUUAAUGAAUACUAGAAUUGUAGAACCGUUAAAUAUUUUAACUAAAGUCUCUGCAUCUAAAAAAUUGUUUGGAUCGGAUAGAGUAAAAAAGGUAAUCAUACUUUUGUUGGACUAUUUUUAUGUAACUUCGAAAAAAAAUGAAAAAAUCAGGACAGAUAUGCCAAAAUUUGUUAAAACUAUAAUUGUAGGUAAUACAAAACUAUUCUCUUCAUUUCAAUUUUUUUAAUACUUUGAUUAUGAGUAAGUGUUUCAAGAAUAAUUUACCUCAUAAUGUUUUAGCAGCCCGACGUUACUGCAACCGGUAGCUCCUCACGAACAAACAUUAGCUCCUCACGAACAAACAUCCAUUGUCCUUGAUCACACCUAAAAAACAUUGAAUACGCGUAAGUUAGAACUCCUCAGUUAUGAUAUGUUGCGGAGGGGCCGGAACCACUUGAUGUCAUAACUAACCCCCCGAACCAGAUUUAACUGCGGUGAAAAACCAAAAAAAACAGACAUAACAUUUAGGCAUUAUGACAACUAACUUAAACAUUAUCAUCAAAGAAUCAUAAGAAAUACUGUACAAGUUCAAACAUUGUUAUAUCUGUCCAACAAUUUCAAAUGAUAGUAACUUCAUAAUAUCUUUAAAACAGAACCUUUCCUCUUCAUUUCACAUCUAAAGAUACCUUAGGACAAAAUUAGCCUAAAAUCAUUAUACCCUUAAUCUAAAUCAAGUUAAUCAAUACUUACUUCUGAAAAAGAAACCAAAUGUAGAGUUGAAGUCCCUCUCCCCAUCUUGAUGAAAUCCACCAACCACCAAAGAAAUGAGAUCUCCCAUAAAACCAACUCUACAGUACCUAAAAUUAGCAACACAUGAAAAAUUCCUUUGUUUAAUGAAUGGAAUCUUUAAAUAAACCAAAAAGAAAACAAGAACUAGGAUCAUCGUGAUAAUGAGGGUUAGGGUUUUGUAAAAAAAAAUUGUGAAUAAUGAAAUUCUGAAAUCAAGAAAACAGAGUAGAACUCACUAUAAGUAAAGAAAUAGGUGAAAUGAACAUGAAAAAAAUCUCCGUCACGGCGUAGGUGGUUACGCGGUCGGGAAAAUAAAAUUGGUAGAUCGGAAAAAUGAAAAACUCGGUUUUGUAGAGGAGGAAGAGAGGAGGUUAGUGGUGGUGGUUAUGCGGUCAUAUGAUGUAGGAUGGCAAAUUUACGGUCUUGGGAAUAUAGGUAUGCGGUGAUGGCUGCCAUGGGAGAAAUUGUAGAAAUGGAAGGGAGAGAGGAAAGAGACAAAAGAAUAGCAGUGGUGAUGCGUUCUGUUUAGAGAGAGAGAGAGAGAGUAAAGAGUAAAAACUUGCUCCUUAUUAAGUUUAAACUUGAGUACUAUUUUAUUUUUACACUUUUACCCUUCUCUUUUUCUUUCUUUGUUUUUCUGGAUAAAAACCCU